UAAAUUUAAGGUAAGACUAAAAUAUUAGUAAUCUAAUGAAAGAGUGCAACAACUUUUUUUAAGUAGAUUUUUUAGGAAUCAUUCCCUUUUAAUAGUAUUGAUUAGAGAAAUAUAUGGUAACAUAUUGUUAGUAUAAAUUUAAGGUAAGACUAAAAUAUUAGUAAUCUAAUGAAAGAGUGCAACAACUUUUUUUAAGUAGAUUUUUUAGGAAUCAUUCCCUUUUAAUAGUAUUGAUAUAAAUUUUAGAGUACUAUCUAUUUAAAUCAACUUUUUAAU
rnacentral:lncRNA from 1 species